rnacentral:lncRNA from 10 species
CUUUGGUUAGAGCUCCCGUCAGACUUUAGUUCGGCCCUAGGAUUUGGUAGCCCCGAAGUGUGGGCUCUCUCCAGUACCAGACUCAUUUCAGUACCAGCCUUUGGGAAGUCGUGUGAAUACCUCGGUCUCUUAGCCACAGGGAUAGAAUGGCGGCCUGACGGAGCCGCGGCGCCGGCGAAGUCGCUGAGGCGCGAGCUGGAACCCCCAGACCAGCUCAAACGGGAGCCAAAACUCGAAGCUUGGAAGAAUUAGCAGGAAAUGGCGGAUGAGGCGUUGUUUUUGCUUCUCCAUAACGAGAUGGUGUCUGGAGUGUACAAGUCCGCGGAGCAGGGGGAGGUGGAAAACGGACGAUGUAUUACUAAGCUGGAAAACAUGGGGUUUCGAGUGGGACAAGGAUUGAUAGAAAGGUGAGCAGGUUGGAUUUGAAAAUUUUCUUGCAGGUUUACAAAAGAUACUGCAAGGUUCAAGGAUGAGUUAGAUAUCAUGAAGUUCAUUUGUAAAGAUUUUUGGACUACGGUAUUCAAGAAACAAAUCGACAAUCUAAGGACAAAUCAUCAGGGCAUCUAUGUACUUCAGGACAACAAAUUUCGCCUGCUUACUCAGAUGUCUGCAGGAAAACAGUAUUUAGAACAUGCAUCUAAGUAUUUAGCAUUUACGUGUGGCUUAAUCAGAGGUGGCUUAUCAAACUUGGGAAUAAAAAGUAUUGUAACAGCUGAAGUGUCUUCAAUGCCUGCUUGCAAAUUUCAGGUGAUGAUACAGAAGCUGUAGAACAUACUGAAAUGCAAGGCUUCAACAGUGUAAAGAGAUAAAUUAUUCAUGUAAAAGUAUUUCAAGUAGUGAUGAUUUAAUUACAUUGUUCGAUGUUUGUACAGGAGUAAGCAUGUAUUUUUAUCAAUUUAACACAGAUCAAAGGAGAUGAAGGGACAUUCUGCCAUGACAUACACUUAACCAAAACUAUUCAAAAUGAAAACCGGAUUUCAAAUAACCAGACACCAAGAUG